GACGAACGCUGGCGGCGUGCCUAAUACAUGCAAGUCGAACGCAGUGGGGACGGGUGAGUAACACGUGGGUAACCUCCCAUCAGAGGGGAUAACACUUGGAAACAGGUGCUAAACCGAUACUGAUGGAUGGACCCGCGGUGCAUUAGCUCGUUGGUGGGGUAACGGCCCACCAAGGCCCCGAUGCCUAGCCGGACUGAGAGGGGGAUCGGCAAGACUGGGACUGAGACACGGCCCAGACUCCUACGGGAGGCAGCAGUGGGGAAUAUUCGGCAAUGGACGAAAGUCUGACCGAGCAACGACGCGUGAGUGAAGAAGGUUUUCGGAUCGUAAAACUCUGUUGUUAGAGAAGCGGUAUCUAAACAGAAAGCCACGGCUAACUACGUGCCAGCAGCCGCGGUAAUUC
rnacentral:rRNA from 1 species